rnacentral:lncRNA from 1 species
CAAAUUCUGCAGCUGCUGCUCUUUGCAAAAUGUGAUGUCUGCUGUCUCUCACAUCAGUCAUCGUCAGGACUGGGAUGAAGGGACUGAUGUAUCUAAACAGAAGGAUCAGAAGUUAACUGAAAUGGCAUGAUCUGAAUGAAAGGUCAGAGGCCAUCCAUGCCCUCCAGAGGAGCUCCUGUGCUUCCCUCUUGGAGAUGCAGGGUUACCAGCCAAGACAAGAAGUUUAGAAGUGCUGGCUGUAUCAGAAGGAAGUGGCAGAAGUGGAGUGAGGGAAAAAUGCAUGUCCACAGAUUACAGACAGAAAACCAGAAUAAUUUUGCCAUGUGAGGAAGAUCUUCUGAAACAGAAGCUGAUUUGGAGAACAUGUCUGACAAAAACAAUGGGGCUGCAGCUUGGGAAUGUAGGCAAGCCCAGGAGAAGGUGAGGAAAAGCAUGCUGUGCUGUCAAGGUACGAGAUUGGUUCACAUGAUUCACCUCUCCUAUCCUUACACAGUCAAAAAUAAUGAUGAACCUAUUGCUAUUAUUCCAGGGACACAAAGAAAGAGGGAGAGG